rnacentral:pre_miRNA from 1 species
UCUCCAUUUCACGUGCUCUCUCGUCGAUCAGACAGCGCGAGAUAGCAUGGGAAAUGAAGAGA